rnacentral:rRNA from 1 species
CCUACGGGAGGCAGCAGUGAGGAAUAUUGGUCAAUGGCCGGAAGGCUGAACCAGCCAUGCCGCGUGAAGGUCAGUGCCCUAUGGGCGUUAAACUUCUUUUGUGCGGGAGCAAUAAUGGUCACGUGUGGCCAGACGAGAGUACCGUACGAAUAAGCAUCGGCUAACUCCGUGCCAGCAGCCGCGGUAAUACGGGGGAUGCAAACGUUAUCCGGGUUUUAUGGGGUUAAAGGGUGCGUAAGCUGUGAGGUAAGUCAGCGGGGGAAUGCCCCCGGUCAACGGGGUGAAGUGCAAUUGAUACUGCCUUGCUGGAAGGCGGAUGCGGUGGGAGGAAUUUGUGGUGUAGCGGUGAAAUGCAUAGAUAGCACACAGAACACCGAUUGCGAAGGCAUCUCACGAAUCCGCGAUUGACGCUGAUGCACGAAAGCGUGGGUAUCAAACAGGAUUAGAUACCCCUGUAGUC